rnacentral:rRNA from 1 species
GACGAACGCUGGCGGCGUGCUUAACACAUGCAAGUCGAACGGAAAGGCCCUGCUUUCAGGGUACUCGUGUGGCGAACGGGAGAGUAACACGUAGGUGAUCUUCCCCGCACUUCGGGGUAAGCCCGGGAAAAUGGGCCUAAUACCGGCUUGCAGUCAUUUUUAGUGUGAUGGUUCGAAAGUUUUGUCGGGGUAUGAUGUGCUGGCGGCCUUUCGGCUUGUUGGUGAGGUAAUGGACUACCAAGGCGGCGAUGGGUAGCGGGCCUGAGAGGGUGAGCCGCCACAUAGGGAAUGGCGUACGGCCCAUGCUCCUUAGGGAGGGAGGAGUGGGAAAUGAUGGACAAGGGGCGCAGGGUUGAUGAAGGGUGUCGGCGUGGGGGAUGACGCUCUUGGGGGUGUAGACUCCUUUCGCUAGAGACGAAGCGUUUUGUGACGGUACCUAGGUAAGAAGCACCGGCUAACUACGUG